rnacentral:rRNA from 1 species
GUGGGGAAUAUUGCACAAUGGGCGAAAGCCUGAUGCAGCAACGCCGCGUGAGGGACGACGGCCUUCGGGUUGUAAACCUCUUUUAGUAGGGAAGAAGCGAAAGUGACGGUACCUGCAGAAAAAGCACCGGCUAACUACGUGCCAGCAGCCGCGGUAAUACGUAGGGUGCAAGCGUUAUCCGGAAUUAUUGGGCGUAAAGAGCUCGUAGGCGGUCUGUCGCGUCUGCUGUGAAAACUGGAGGCUCAACCUCCAGCCUGCAGUGGGUACGGGCAGACUAGAGUGCGGUAAGGGAGAUUGGAAUUCCUGGUGUAGCGGUGGAAUGCGCAGAUAUCAGGAGGAACACCGAUGGCGAAGGCAGAUCUCUGGGCCGUAACUGACGCUGAGGAGCGAAAGCGUGGGGAGCGAACAGGAUUAGAAACCCGAGUAGUCC